UACGUAGGGGGCAAGCGUUGUCCGGAUUUAUUGGGCGUAAAGAGCGUGUAGGCGGCCAUACAGGUCAGCUGUGAAAACUCGAGGCUCAACCUCGAGACGUCGGUUGAAACCGUAUGGCUAGAGUCCGGAAGAGGAGAGUGGAAUUCCAGGUGUAGUGGUGAAAUACGUAGAUAUCAGGAAGAACACCCGUGGCUAAGGCGGCUCUCUAGUACGGUACUGACGCUGAGACGCGAAAGCGUGGGGAGCGAACAGG
rnacentral:rRNA from 1 species